UACAGAGGUCUCAAGCGUUGUUCGGAUUCAUUGGGCGUAAAGGGUGCGUAGGCGGCGCGGUAAGUCGGAUGUGAAAUCUCGGGGCUUAACUCCGAAACUGCAUUCGAUACUGCCGUGCUUGAGGACUGGAGAGGAGACUGGAAUUUACGGUGUAGCGGUGAAAUGCGUAGAUAUCGUAAGGAAGACCAGUGGCGAAGGCGGGUCUCUGGGCAACAACUGACGCUGAGGAGCGAAAGCGUGGGGAGCGAACAGG
rnacentral:rRNA from 1 species